rnacentral:rRNA from 1 species
ACUCAAAUGAAUUGACGGGGGCCCGCACAAGCGGUGGAGCAUGUGGUUUAAUUCGACGCAACGCGCAGAACCUUACCAGGCCUUGACAUCCCACGCGAUCCGGAGAGAUCCGGAGUUCCCUUCGGGGACGUGGAGACAGGUGCUGCAUGGCUGUCGUCAGCUCGUGUCGUGAGAUGUUGGGUUAAGUCCCGCAACGAGCGCAACCCUCGCCUUUAGUUGCCAUCAUUCAGUUGGGCACUCUAGAGGGACUGCCGGUGACAAGCCGGAGGAAGGUGGGGAUGACGUCAAGUCCUCAUGGCCCUUACGGCCUGGGCUACACACGUGCUACAAUGGCGGUGACAGAGGGCAGCGAUCCAGCGAUGGGGAGCCAAUCUCUAAAAGCCGUCUCAGUUCAGAUUGCACUCUGCAACUCGGGUGCAUGAAGGUGGAAUCGCUAGUAAUCGCAGAACAGCAGGCUGCGGUGAAUACGUUCCCGGGCCUUGUACACACCGCCCGU